rnacentral:rRNA from 1 species
AUUGAACGCUGGCGGCAUGCUUUACACAUGCAAGUCGAACGGUAACAGGGAGCUUGCUCCGCUGACGAGUGGCGAACGGGUGAGUAAUGUAUCGGAACGUACCCAGAAGUGGGGGAUAACGUAGCGAAAGUUACGCUAAUACCGCAUACGAUCCACGGAUGAAAGUAGGGGACCUUCGGGCCUUAUGCUUUUGGAGCGGCCGAUAUCUGAUUAGCUAGUUGGUGAGGUAAAGGCUCACCAAGGCGACGAUCAGUAGCUGGUCUGAGAGGACGACCAGCCACACUGGAACUGAGACACAGUUCAGACUCCUACGGGAGGCAGCAGUGGGGAAUUUUGGACAAUGGGCGCAAGCCUGAUCCAGCAAUGCCGCGUGAGUGAAGAAGGCCUUCGGGUUGUAAAGCUCUUUUGUCAGGGAAGAAACGGGAGUGGCUAAUAUCCAUUCUUAAUGACGGUACCUGAAGAAUAAGCACCGGCUAACUACGUGCCAGCCGCCGCCGUAACAC